rnacentral:rRNA from 1 species
UACGUAGGGGGCAAGCGUUGUCCGGAUUUAUUGGGCGUAAAGAGCGUGUAGGCGGCCAAGUUAAGUCUGGCUGUGAAAACUCGAGGCUUAACCUCGAGCUGUCGGCGGAAACUAUUUGGCUAGAGUCCGGAAGAGGAGAAUGGAAUUCCCGGUGUAGCGGUGAAAUGCGCAGAUAUCGGGAAGAACACCCGUGGCGAAAGGCGGUUCUCU